UGUGUGUAACAGUGUGUGGGAGGAACAGGGAGUGUGUGUGUAACAGUGUGUGUAACAAUGUGUGUGUAACAGUGUGAGGGAGGAACAGGGAGUGUGUUAGUCAUUUAUUUAUGUAAAGUGUGUAAAGUAUCUCGUCUUAAAGGGAAACGUCAGCUGAUUGUGAGGAUGGAGCACACAGAGGACUGGAAGAUUCAGGCUUUAAACACAGAAACACAGCAGAUGCUGAAAACAGCACUGACAGACCCAGGCACAGUAGACUUGGUGAAGUUGUGUGAUCUGAUAGUGGACCAGGCGCUGAAGGACUCGUCCCUGUGCAGAGACGCAGGACAUGUCUGCUGUACCUUAGUGCAGGUGGAGGCUAAGUGUAGCAGCUCCAGUGUGUUCAGGAGUAAUAUGCUGACUCGGCUGCAGCAGGAGUUUAUGAGGCGAGAGGAGACGCGGCAGCGAUCGCUGCAUGAGUGGGUGUGUGUCGUCUCUCUCCUCUGUAACAUCUUUGACAAUCUGAAGGUAAAUAACAGCCCCAUGGCUGCUCUGGUGGAUCCGGUGUAUGACUGUUUGUUCAGAUUGGCUCAGGCUGAUGCUCUGGUUAAUGAAGUGGAGGUGGACUGCUUGGCUUUGCAACUCCAUCGUCUUGGUGAGCAGUUGGAGAAGCUGAACACCAGGCGGAUGGAUGAGCUCUUCUUCCUGCUUAGAGACGGUUUCCUCCUGCAGGACGAUCUGAGCUCCAUGAGCCGCCUACUGCUGCUGGAGCUGCUCGAGUGCCGUGCUGCCAGAUGGAAUCUGAGCAAAAACGCUCAGCGCUACUACUACUACAGCGAGGUGGUGGAGUGAGGAACACUGGGAUUGUGUCACAGAGUGUGAUCUAGCAUCAGGAGUAGAAGAUCAGACUGUGUGCAGGUGUGAUUCAUGUGCUUCAGGUGUGGAGGAUUGAGAUGAUUGUUCCAGUGAUGUGGAUCUGCCAGGACAGACACAUUAAUCAUCUUGUUCUAGUUGUUCUGAGAUGAACAGUGUUUGCACUUCUCGCUGUUAGAUGAUGCUGAUUCCGUUAAAACUGAGUAAUAAAGUGUUUGUUCGUAUUUGAUCAAACUGUGAUACGCUGAUCAUCACCAGCACUGACAAACCGAUAAACGUCACUCACAUCCGACGUCAAACUGAUUUUUUUUUGAUAAACAGUUUUGUAUAUUUGUACUGUUUAAAAAUAAAUACGCUCGUUUGUUAUAUGAGUGUUUAUAGUGAAAUUUAUCUAAAAUAAAAAGUGUUUGUUGGUCA